rnacentral:piRNA from 1 species
GUUGGUUGGUGUGUGUUUGUUUCUUUUGC